AACGAACGCUGGCGGCAUGCCUAACACAUGCAAGUCGAACGAGAUCUUCGGGUCUAGUGGCGCACGGGUGCGUAACGCGUGGGAAUCUGCCCUUUGGUUCGGAAUAACAGUUGGAAACGACUGCUAAUACCGGAUGAUGACGAAAGUCCAAAGAUUUAUCGCCAGAGGAUGAGCCCGCGUAGGAUUAGCUAGUUGGUGUGGUAAAGGCUCACCAAGGCGACGAUCCUUGGCUGGUCUGGGAGGAUGAUCAGCCAGACUGGGACGGAGAAACGGCCCAGACUCCUACGAGAGGCAGCAGUGGGGAAUAUUGGAAAAUGGGCGAAAGCCUGAUCCAGCAAUGCCUCGUGAGGGAUGAAGGCCUUAGGGUUGUAAAGCUCUUUUACCCGUGAUGAUAAUGACAGUACCGGGAGAAUAAGCUCCGGCUAACUCCGUGCCAGCCGCCGCCGUAA
rnacentral:rRNA from 1 species